rnacentral:rRNA from 1 species
GACGGGUGAGUAACUGCGUAAGAAUUUGCCUUUAUGAGGGGGAUAACAGCUGUAAACGGCUGCUAAUACCCCAUAUGCUUUCGAGUGAAAUGGGUUUCCGCCUAAUGAGAAGCUUGCGUCUGAUUAGCUUGUUGGUGAGGUAAAAGCUUACCAAGGCGACGAUCAGUAUCUGGUUUGAGAGGACGAUCAGACACACUGGAACUGAGACACGGUCCAGACUCCUACGGGAAGCAGCAGUAGGGAAUUUUCCGCAAUGGGCGAAAGCCUGACGGAGCAAUACCGCGUGAGGGAUGACUGCCUAUGGGUUGUAAACCUCUCUUUUCAGGGAGGAAUAACUGACGUGUACCUGAAGAAUAAGCAUCGGCUAACUCCGUGCCAGCAGCCGCGGUAAGACGGAGGAUGCAAGUGUUAUCCGGAAUCACUGGGCGUAAAGCGUCUGUAGGUGGCCAAAUAAGUCAACUGUUAAAUCUUGAGGCUUAACCUCAAAAUCGCAGUCGAAACUAUUAGGCUAGAGUAUAGUAGGGGUAAAGGGAAUUUCCAGUGGAGCGGUGAAAUGCGUAGAGAUUGGAAAGAACACCGAUGGCGAAGGCACUUUACUGGGCUAUUACUAACAC